CUCAGCUUAUCCCAGUGUGCCAUGCCUUAGCGAUCAGGCAUCCCGUGAUUCUCCCGCAUCAAGACCCCGCGAUCAUUUCCUUCUCGGCCAUCCGCCCAGCCAAUCAUCAACAUCCCGAAUAAAUCCAUUUCGAUCGGCUCCUCCCAGCAUCCCGCAGUUCCCAUCCGGUGUGCCUAUCCUCCCAUGGUCCAAAGAGGGAAACCUACGAAGCAGCUAGUCAUCUCCCUCUUCCGAUCACGGCUUGGGACUAUCGUGAGCAGCUGGGAUGUAGGGCUUCCGAGUUCCAGCUUCUUCCCGUCGAUCCCGCGGUGGCCUCCAAGUGAUCCCAUGAUCAAGCCUCCCACGCCCGUCCGACUGCAAGCGUGAUCCAAGCAUCGUGCCCAGCCUUCCAGAUUCCAUCCGCGACCCAGCCGCUCGUGAAGCCCCGUUGAUCGCGUCUGCCCUCUUCACGCUCCUGGCUCCUCCCAGUGAUCCCGUGGCUAGCCGUGAAGCAUCCCGUUCCAGAUCCAAUCCGGAUUAUUUUCCUUCAUCCAGUCAUUCCGAAACUCCUUCACCUCUUCUUCUGCCUACAUCACGUCCGUUACCUCUUCCGUGCGUGAUCCCAGCAGCUACAAAGAGCCCUUGAUCCAGUGAUUCUUUCUCGCAGUCACCGCAUGAUCCAACCUGCACCGCGCCCGUGAUCAGCCUGAAUCAGCGCCCCUAAUGCAGCUUCUUCUGCCCGUUCCUCGCCAUCAAGGAGUUGCUCCAGCCCUGCAUCCAAGGAUCACGCGUCCGAUUCAGCCAUUUGCAUUCCGUCCCAGCAAUCACGCAUCCUCCCCCUCUCCAUGCUUCAAGGGUAGGGUUGAUCUAUAAAAGUGGGAGGAGAGAAGAAAACAGGGGGGAGCUCUGCUUUGGAAAAGAAGAAGGAGGAGGCCUUCGGCUGGGAGAAGUGCUCGGUUGGGCCAAAAAUCAAAACAGGAGAGGAAGCUCUGUUUUGGGCAAGAAAAGAAAAAGAAAAAAGAGAGAGUAUUUUAUUGGUUUUGGUUUGAGUUUUAUGAGAGCAAUGUGUUUUUUUUUUUUAGUUUGAGUUUUAAUUGAAAGUCUUGUUUUAAGUUUUAAUUUAGAGAGUUUUAUUUUGGUGGAGAGUUUUACUUUUAAGAUUAUUUAUUUAUGCU
rnacentral:lncRNA from 1 species